CCUACGGGUGGCUGCAGUAGGGAAUAUUGGGCAAUGGCCGAGAGGCUGACCCAGCCAUGCCGCGUGCCGGACGAAGGCCCUCUGGGUUGUAAACGGCUUUUACCCGGGAAGAAGAGCAGCUAUGCGUAGCUGUGUGACGGUACCGGGGGAAUCAGCACCGGCUAACUCCGUGCCAGCAGCCGCGGUAAUACGGAGGGUGCAAGCGUUGUCCGGAUUUAUUGGGUUUAAAGGGUGCGUAGGUGGCUUCUUAAGUCCGCUUUGAAAGUGGCCUGCUC
rnacentral:rRNA from 1 species